GCCUCGUUGGCACAGUAGGUAGCGGGUCAGUCUCAUAAUCUGAAAGUCGUGAGUUCGAGCCUCACAUGGGGCA
rfam:Danio rerio chromosome 4, GRCz11 reference primary assembly.